UUCAGCAAGCUCACGUGUCGCGCCAACAACGAGUGUCACCACAGAUUCUAUUCGGCUCGUAGUCGGAACUGCUGCCAGCGCUACGUACCUGC
rnacentral:lncRNA from 1 species